AAUAUUGUAGGUUAAAUAAACCUAAGGUCUUCAAAACCUUAAAUAACUCCAAUGGUUCAGUAUUA
rnacentral:tRNA from 1 species